AUGGAUGUUGGAUCUUAUGAUGUAGCACCCGGUGGAUAUUUAGCUAGCAUGUAUCAUCUUACGAGAAUGCAAUAUGGUAUAGAUAAUCCAGAAGAAGUAUGCAUAAAAGUCCUUGCCCAAAAGGAUAAUCCUAGAAUUCCAUCUAUCUUCUGGAUUUGGAGAAGUGCCGAUUUUCAAGAACACGAAUCUUAUGAUAUGGUGGGAAUUUCUUAUGAUAAUUAUCCACGCCUUAAACAUAUCAUAAUGCCUGAAAGUUGGAUAGGCUUGCCCUUACGUAAGGAUUAUAUAACCCCCAAUUUUUAUAAAAUACAAGAUGCUCAUUGA
rnacentral:rRNA from 1 species